rnacentral:rRNA from 1 species
CCUACGGGUGGCAGCAGUGGGGAAUAUUGCACAAUGGGCGAAAGCCUGAUGCAGCAACGCCGCGUGAGCGAUGAAGGCCUUCGGGGCGUAAAGCUCUGUCCUCAAGGAAGAUAAUGACGGUACUUGAGGAGGAAGCCCCGGCUAACUACGUGCCAGCAGCCGCGGUAAUCCGUAGGGGGCUAGCGUUAUCCGGAAUUACUGGGCGUAUAGGGUGCGUAGGUGGUUUCUUAAGUCAGAGGUGAAAGGCUAGGGCUCAACCGUAGUAAGCCUUUGAAACUGGGGAACUUGAGUGCAGGAGAGGAGAGUGGAAUUCAUGGUGUAGCGGUGAAAUGCGUAGAUAUUAGGAGGAACACCAGUCGCGAAGGCGGCUCUCUGGACUGUAACUGACACUGAGGCACGAAAGCGUGGGGAGCAAACAGGAUUAGAUACCCUGGUAGUC